CCCAGCCAACUCUGGAAACGGGUCGAGGCGCCUGUUGGCUCCACAGAGCCUGAAGCAGCCCCUGCCGCCGCCCUCGCCACCGCCGCCGCCGCCGCCGCCGCCGCCGCCACGGCCCCUGCGUUACUGGGGGAGACGGUGCCGCUGCGACAGGGGAGGACGCGGCUGGAGCUCAAGGAGGCUCCAGCGCGCAGGCGCCGCCGAGCCCUGCCUGGAUGCUCAGUCAAGGCACUAAGGCAAAAAAAAAAAAAAAAAAAUCAGCAAUUUAUAGAAAGAAGAAGCUAUAGUCUGUCGGGAUAUCCAACACCAACAGGUAGGAGGAUAUACUCUCCGUUAAGUUUGGGGGGAGGGGGGCGCACAGUGUCGAUGAAACUGCAGGUUCACCGGGAAAGAACCCUCCCUGAGGUUUUUUGUUUUUUUGUUUUUUUUACAAUAAACUGCAUAAUGGAAGUACAUUCAGACAAUGCAUCUUCAGUAGGGCUUAUUGAGAGCUUCAUUUCUGGAAAGCGUUGCAAGACUGAGGAAUAUCAGACUGCGAAUCACCGGGAACAGUUCCCUUGCAGCACAGAAGCAAUCUCUCUCCCCAUCUUCGCAUAUUCCGAUGGCAAAUCAACUGGAAGAAAAGAGGAAGCAUGACUGCAGAUCGGAUCAGUUCUCUUUGUGGAUUACAUUUCCAGUAAAAUGGAGCUGAGGCGCUGUUUCAGCACAACCCUUCUUUACUGCAGAAAAUCCAGGUUACCAAGGGAACCUUACUGUGUUAUAUGAAGGAGCAUCUGUAAAUCUUUAGCCUUGUGAAACACUAACCUUCUCUGCUAAGCGAUUGUGGCCUGUAGCCAUAUCUUGAGAAGAAAAUCAAGAAUGGGAUCAGAGGUUAUAAGGAUUUGGGCAACAUUCUGCAGUCUUUGCAAUAGUUCACCUAUAAUCCUAUUUUAAAUCUCAGAGUGAUCCUGCUGAUGGCCGGCGAAG
rnacentral:lncRNA from 1 species